UACAGAGGUCUCAAGCGUUGUUCGGAUUCAUUGGCGUAAAGGGUGCGUAGGCGGCGCGGUAAGUCGGGUGUGAAAUCUUGGAGCUUAACUCCGAAACUGCAUUCGAUACUGCCGUGCUUGAGGACUGGAGAGGAGACUGGAAUUUACGGUGUAGCGGUGAAAUGCGUAGAUAUCGUAAGGAAGACCAGUGGCGAAGGCGGGUCUCUGGACAGUUCCUGACGCUGAGGCACGAAGGCCAGGGGAGCAAACGGG
rnacentral:rRNA from 1 species